UACGUAGGUGGCAAGCGUUGUCCGGAUUUAUUGGGUUUAAAGGGUGCGUAGGUGGUCUAUUAAGUCAGUGCUGAAAUAUCCCGGCUUAACCGGGAGGGUGGCAUUGAUACUGAUGGACUUGAGUGAAGUCGAGGUAGGCGGAAUUGACGGUGUAGCGGUGAAAUGCUUAGAUAUCGUCAAGAACACCGAUAGUGUAGACAGCUUACUAGGCUUUAACUGACACUGAGGCACGAAAGUGUGGGGAGCGAACAGG
rnacentral:rRNA from 1 species